rnacentral:rRNA from 1 species
AACGAACGCUGGCGGCGUGCCUAACACAUGCAAGUCGUACGAGAAACACGCUCUUCGGGGUGUGGAGUAAAGUGGCGCACGGGUGAGUAACACGUGAGUAACCUGCCCUUUGGACUGGGAUAACAAGCCGAAAGGCUUGCUAAUACCGGAUAAGACCACGAUUCUUUCGGGGAUUGGGGUAAAAGUCGGCCUAUCUAUAGAAGCCGGCUCCUAAGGAGGGGCUCGCGGACCAUUAGCUUGUUGGUAGGGUAAUGGCCUACCAAGGCCGAGAUGGGAUAGCUGGUCUGAGAGGAUGAUCAGCCACACUGGAACUGAGAUACGGUCCAGACUCCUACGGGUGGCUG